rnacentral:rRNA from 1 species
UACGAAGGGUGCAAGCGUUGUCCGGAAUUAUUGGGCGUAAAGAGCUCGUAGGCGGUCUGUUGCGUCGGCUGUGAAACCGGGCUCAACCCGGCCUGCAGCCGAUACGGGCAGACUAGAGUUCGGCAGGGGAGACUGGAAUUCCUGGUGUAGCGGUGAAAUGCGCAGAUAUCAGGAGGAACACCGAUGGCGAAGGCAGGUCUCUGGGCAUUAACUGACGCUGAGGAGCGAAAGCAUGGGGAGCGAACAGG